rnacentral:rRNA from 1 species
AACACGGAAACAGAUGCUAAUACCGGAUAACAACAGAUGAUGCCUAUCAACUGUUUAAAAGAUGGUUCUGCUAUCACUCUUGGAUGGACCUGCGGUGCAUUAGCUAGUUGGUAGGGUAACGGCCUACCAAGGCGAUGAUGCAUAGCCGAGUUGAGAGACUGAUCGGCCACAUUGGGACUGAGACACGGCCCAAACUCCUACGGGAGGCAGCAGC